ensembl:lncRNA
AACAGCAGGAAAGAUGGGGGGAAAAUGGGAAAAACAAUAAAAAAUGGGAAAAAAUUCAGGAAAAAUGAGGGAAAGCCUGAGGAGAACUGGAAAAAAGCAAAAAAAUGGGAAAAACCAGAAGAAAGUAGGGGAAAAUGGCAAAAAAAUGGGGAAAUUAGGGGAAAAAAUGGGAAAAGAAUCCUGGAAAAGUGGGGCAAAAAUGGGAACAUAGGAAAACCAAGAAAAACUGGGGAGAAUCCAGGAAACAAGAAAAUAUGGCAGAAAAUUGGGAAAAACAGGAAAAAAAAGAGAAAAUCAGCAAAAAAAAAAGAGAAAAAAAAAGGAAAAAUGGGAAAAAAUUGGGGAAAUUGGAAAUGAGGAAAAAAAAAGUGUAAAAAUGGUGAUAAAGUAAGAAAAACCAUGGAAAAAUGAGGAAAAAAAUCAGGAAAAUGGGGAAAGCGGAAGAAAUGGUAGAAACUUGGUAAAAAUGAGAAAGCCAGAGAGAAAACUUUGUAAAAAAAGAGGAAAACCCAGGAAAACAAAAAAAAAUAUUUUUAAAAUGUGAAAAAAACCCAACAAAAUGGGAACAAUUCCUGGGAAAAUAGGAAAAGUGCAAGGGAAAAUGGGACAAGCAGGGAAGAAAAUAUAAAAAAUUGGGGAAAAUGGGGGAAAAUUGGGGAAAAAUGGGAAAAAGAGGGGAAAAAAGAGAAAAAAUGGCAGAAAUGGGUAAAAACUGGGAUCCCCCAGUUUUUAGUGGGGAGGGGUCUCACCCUGCUGACCUCUGACCUUUCCCUCCCCUCCCCCGCAGGUGCCUGAAGUGGACGGUGUGACCCCGCCCCCAAUAUGGCGGGUGUGGCCACGCCCACAAUAUGGCUGCCGUGAUGUCGCCCCAAAAUGGCCUCCGUGAGCGCGUCUUUGUUUGGUCCCGUUCCUAAAAUGGCCGCCAUGGCUCCACCCCCAAGAUGGCUGCUGUGACUCCACCCCCAAGAUGGUCACCAUGGCCACUCCCCCAAAAUGGCUGCCUUGGCUCCACCCCCAACAUGGCCGCUCCCCAAAAAUGGAAGUUUUGACCACACCCCCAAGAUGGCUGCCAUGGGCGCACCCACAGCAUGGUUUCCAUGGCUCCACCCCAAGAUGGCCAGCAUGGCCCCACCCACAAAAUGGCUGCCAUGGUCACAUCCCCAAGAUGGCCGCCAUGACCCUGCCCACAAAAUGGCUGCCACGGCCCCACCCACAAAAUGGCAGCCAUAGCCCCACCCCAAAAAUGGCCGCCAUGGCCCCUCCCACAAAAUGGCUGCCAUUGCUUCUCCCACAAAAUGGCCGCCUUGGCCCCUCCCACUACCAAGAUGGCGGCUGGGCCUGGUUUGAACCAAAAUCCGAAUUUUUCCUACCAAAAUCUUUGGGAUUGACUUUAUUUGGGGAGGUGGGAGGAGCUACAGGAGAAGGGGUGGGGCCUGGGAAAGGGGGCGGGGCCUUGGGAAUUGGGGUAAAAUCUGGGAAAAUCGGGAAAAAUUCCGGGAGAAACGAGCGGGAACAGAGACUCCGCCCCUUGAGGGCGGAGCUGUGCCACCAUUGGCCCAAGAUGGCCGCCCUGAGCUCUGAUUGGAUGAACGUUCUGUGAGGGCUCCGCCCCUUCAUGGCUGCUGGGGCCCUGCCCCGGAUCAAGCCACGCCCAUUUCAGGGCCAAGCCACGCCCAUAAAUACAAGACCCACCUCUUUCUGGGUUAGCCACGCCCCCUUUUAGGGCAAAGUCCCGCCCAUGAAUCCAAACCACGCCCAUUUUCGGAUCAAGCCCCGCCCCCUGAGCCAAGCCCCAUCCAUUUGGUCUAAGCCCCGCCCCUUGGGUCCAAGCCCCUCCCCCAAAUCCCCUUGUGUUGCCCAGGCUCCGCCUCCUGUGACGUCACCAGAGCAGGGUCCCUCGGCGGCCAAUCAGCAUUGGCUCCGCCCCUCUGGGGCGGGGCAAGGCCGCCUGCAGCUGUGGGGAUAAUGAGAUGCAAAUGAGCUGGGGCGGGGACAGCUGAAGGGAAGGGGGUGUGUGUGACCCGGAGCGGGGCGUGGCCAGGGGUGGGCGUGGUCUCUGUCUCUUAUCAGGAGGUGGGGCUUGCCUAGUGGGUGUGUCCACACUAAUCUGGUGGGCGUGGCCUAAUGGGGCUGGGCUUAUUUCUUUUCUCACCUGAUGGGUGUGGCCCAGUGGGGGUGGGGCUUAUUUAUUUUCUCUCCUUGUGGGUGUGGCCUAAUUGGGGUGGGGUUUAUCUCUAUUUUAACCCAGUGGGUGUGGCCCAUUGGGGGGCGGGGUUUAUAUCCCUGCUCACUGCAUGGGCGGGGUUCAAUGGGGGCGGGAUUUCUGCCAGUGGGUGUGGCCUGAUUCACUUGGUGGGCGGGGUUUAUGUCCAUUCUAACACAUUGGGUGUGGCCUAAUGGGGGCGGAGUUGAUAUCCCUGCUCACUGCAUGGGCGGGGCUUAACGUGGGCGUGGUUUGUGGCGGUGGGCGUGGCCUGCUCACCUGGUGGGCGGGACAAUGUCUAUUCUAACACAUUGGGUGUGGCCUAAUGGGGGCGGAGUUGAUAUCCCUGCUCACUGCAUGGACGGGGCUCAAUGUGGGCGUGGUUUGUGGCGGUGGG